rnacentral:rRNA from 1 species
UACGGGGGGAGCAAGCGUUGUUCGGAUUUACUGGGCGUAAAGGGCGCGUAGGCGGCCACCGCAAGUCAGUUGUGAAAUCUCCGGGCUUAACCCGGAAAGGUCAACUGAUACUGCGGGGCUAGAGUGCAGAAGGGGCAACUGGAAUUCUCGGUGUAGCGGUGAAAUGCGUAGAUAUCGAGAGGAACACCUGCGGCGAAGGCGGGUUGCUGGGCUGACACUGACGCUGAGGCGCGAAAGCUAGGGGAGCGAACGGG